GAUGGUGACAGCAAAGCUACCAUUCAUCCUAACUCCUUCUCUAUUACACAUCCGGUUAGUCCCUAACGGCACAAGUCCUAGCAGUGAGUGCAAGUGACCGGGGCAGAAGAGGGGAAGGAGGAGGGGCAAUGCUGUGAGAAGGAGAGUACAAACCACCUGGAUUUUGUACUGGUGAAGAAACUGAGGGAUGAUUGGGCCCCCUCUGCCCUUUAUAUCCCUCAAUCGGGGAGCAGAAGAGCAUCUAGUGUGAAGAUACAACCUCAAUGGAUACUGCUAGCCAAAAUAAUGUGAUCUUGUGCACAUGGGAUGCAUGCACACCAGAAGCAGAAUCCAUGUAAACAAUACAUCUUGAAGAAUCACAGCUACUAUAAGGGCUGUGACGGGUUGUACAAACGCCUCACUGGACAGCAAAGAGUUGAAGAGCAGCUCUGGCCUCACAAGGUUCCGCCUGUACUGUGUGUACUCCACUUGGAGGUGGGGUUAAAAAGGGAGCAGGCUAGCUCAGUUGGGGGUGAACAAGGGAGAGAGAAGGACCCGCUCUGGGAGCUCCGGAGGACACAGCCAGACCGGGAGCAGGUGUGUC